UACGUAGGGUGCGAGCGUUGUCCGGAAUUAUUGGGCGUAAAGAGCGUGUAGGCGGCCAGGUAGGUCUGCUGUGAAAACUCGAGGCUCAACCUCGAGACGUCGGCGGAAACCAUCUGGCUAGAGUCCGGAAGAGGAGAGUGGAAUUCCUGGUGUAGCGGUGAAAUGCGGCAGAUAUCAAGAGGAACACCUGAGGCGAAGGCGGGUUGCUAGGCUGACACUGACGCUGAUGCGCGAAAGCCAGGGGAGCAAACGGG
rnacentral:rRNA from 1 species